UUCCAGCCUGAAGAAAUUGAUGAUGCAGACCUGUUUGCUUGUCUUCCUAAGGAUUAUUCACCCCUUUCCGUGGGAGGGGCAGCGUCACUGAGAAAGUUACGGGUUGCAAGCUUGAGUGUCUAAGAACCGCCUGGCGAGCUUCUUAAGCAGAUCGCCAGGUUCCAUCUUCGCAGACUCUGGUUCAGCAGGUAGCAGGUUAGCCCGAGAAUCUGCAUUUCUAACAAGCUCCUAGGCGUGCCCACGCUGUCAGUAUUGGCAGCCCAACCUUUUUUGGGGGGUGGGGGGGGGAGUUUUUCUAUGUUGCCGGUCUCGAACUCCUAGCCUUAAGCGAUCUUCCCUACUCGGCCUCCCAAAAUGCCAGGAUCGCAAGCGUAAGCCACUGUGCCAGACCACCACCCUUUUUCUUCUUUUUUGUAAGUGGACUAAUUAUAGUUGUAUAUAAGCAGCUCCACUUUUGAUGACCACUGCUCUAUUUUGUCGGCUCCUGGGGACCUCCUUUCCAUGAAGUGGAGAAGGAAGGGGAUAGAGGAGUCCCUCAUCACAGGGUCCUUUUGCGCACUGCUAUCCCUGGAAUGAGACCCUGGGAAGGGCCCCGGAUCACUCAGGCUGUCACUGCAAGGAAAAAGUUGAGGAAGCAGCAGUGCCCCUGGAAAGCCUGGAAGUGUCCCUGCUGCUUGGAUCAAGGAACAAUUCGUCCUUGCAAGGAAGAAGCAUCCCUUGUUGAUGAUAAGGACAGAUUUCCUCAGCUGCCCCAGAAAGCCAGCCUCUGCCUAAAACACCGUAGGUCAGGAGGGAAAGCUGGCGGGGAACCAGCCAGCUGCACCACAGACAGUCUGGUGGUAUACCUGGGAAGAAAGCUACCUGCAAGGACCUACUCUGUUCCUACUACGCUCUGGGUGUCCCCCAAGUCACUGCCUAUUUUGCUUGGUUGCAUAAACUAUUUAUGUAAAUGUACUUCCAAUUUUAGUGCUUACAGCCACUAGCAAAAAGCAAAAGCUUUGGAGUCAGUGGUCCUGGUUAACUUACCCCUCCCUCCACAAGGUAGUAACAGUGUAGGGAACUGUGGAAAAGGCUGUUUGCCUUCCCUGAGUCUAAUUCUUCAUGGAGUAAAUGGAGUCUGUUUCUUCAGUACUACACCAAGUUGUUCAUGAGGAUCGAGUUUUCUAAUAUUCAUGAAAAUACUUUGUAAACCCUGGCACACCAUGCUCAUGUUAAUCACCUUCUUACUGGAAGAAAAUGCUUUAGAUAAUUUAGGCUUUUUUUUUUUACCCAUAGAAUUCCCUUCCUUCCUUCUGCUUUUUUUUUUCUUUUCUUUAUUUUUUCAGAGAUGAUGUUUCAGUAUGUUGCCCAGGCUGGUCUCGAACUCCUGGCCUCAAGCGAUCCUCCUGCCUCAGCCUCCCAAGUAGCUGGAACUACAGGCAUGCCUCACCAUACUUUGCCCCUUCUACUUUUGUAGAGCCAAGCCUGACCUUCCUGGACUGUUGUUUUCAAGCAUAAUAUCUCUGGUACAACAUUGAUACAAUCCACAUGAGUUCUUUAAGUAAGUGGCUAGUUACUUGGGGAUUCAAAGGAUCAUCUUGUCUCAGACUUUGGGUUCCUAUUGUCAAUACUUAAAUUCUAUGAUAGGAUGCCCCAGGAAAGAAGGAAUACAAGGCCGAGCUGCGUGGUGACUUUCAGGGGCCCUAUUUUUGCCUUAGUAGGCCUUUCUCUCCAUAAAACAGUUAAUAAAAAUUUCAUUUUAUAGUCACAUUGCUAUGAAGAUGAUUAUAUUAAAAUGAUAUCAUAAAACAUUUUUAGACCUGUAAGUUCAUUUAUUGCUCUUGAUUAAAAAAAUUGAAACAUUUUCAUGGUCCUUCAGAAUAUCAUGGUUUGUAGGCAUGAUGCCUCCUGCACAUCAUGGAGAAGUUGGCUGAUGCAAAAUGAAUUCCUCUAUAGGCACAAGUGUGUUUGUAUUAAUAUUAUGAAUAUAAAAACAAGGCUAGCCAUGGUGGCUCAUGCCUGUAACCCCGGCACUUUGGGAGGCUGAAGCGAGAGAGUCACUUGAGCCCAGGAGUUUGAGAACAACCUGGGCAACAUAGAGAGACCCUGUCUCUACAAAGAUUUCAAAAUUAGCCAGGCAUGGUGGUGCGCCCCUGUAGUCCCAGUUGCUUGUGAGGCUGAGGCAGGAGGAUGGGUUGGGCUUGGGAGGUCGAGGCUGCAGUAAGCUGUGAUUAUGCUAUUGCACUCCAGCCUGGGUGACAGAAUGAGAUCCUGUCUCAAAAAAAUAAAAAACAAAACAAAACCUCAGCUAACCACAAAAUCAUCAUAUUUAUGGGAGGACAAAAUGAGAUGCUUGAAAAAGAUGACCUCGUAGUUUGUGGUUGUGGUUGCUUCCUAAACUACAUUCUCACCGUACUUCCUAGUUAUCUAACUAGGAGAUUUGGAUAAGGUUGAGUCCAUCUCCACCACUCUCACCACCAGUUCCGGGAAUGAGUCCCUAGAGGUUUAACCCGAUCAAUCAGGAUGACCAUGACUCUUCCAUAGCGAUUGGGGCAGGGAUGGCACCUACCCCUGGCGACCCGUGCUGCUCCCCUGGCAAUAGGGAUUGGCUCAGAAUAAAAACUUGGCC
rnacentral:lncRNA from 1 species